GACGAACGCUGGCGGCAGGCCUAACACAUGCAAGUCGAGCGAGGUAGCAAUACCUAGCGGCGGACGGGUGAGUAACGCGUGGGAAUCUGCCCCUUGGUUCGGAAUAACAGCGAGAAAUUGCUGCUAAUACCGGAUAAUGACGUAAGUCCAAAGAUUUAUCGCCAAGGGAUGAGCCCGCGUAGGAUUAGCUAGUUGGUGUGGUAAAGGCGCACCAAGGCGACGAUCCUUAGCUGGUCUGAGAGGAUGAUCAGCCACACUGGGACUGAGACACGGCCCAGACUCCUACGGGAGGCAGCAGUGGGGAAUAUUGGACAAUGGGCGAAAGCCUGAUCCAGCAAUGCCGCGUGAGUGAUGAAGGCCUUAGGGUUGUAAAGCUCUUUACCCGGGAAGAUAAUGACUGUACCGGGAGAAUAAGCCCGGCUAACUCUGUGCCAGCAGCCGCGGU
rnacentral:rRNA from 1 species